AGCCAUUACCCAAUUUAAGUGAAUAGCAGUCGUGUCCGAAGCAACCAACACCAUACUCUGUGUUAAAAAGAACCUUUUAAGAGAAACAAGACUAGAAAAACAAACAAAAGAACAAUCUUUUAACCAACAUUAUGUUGGCAUCAUGCUAAAUUUCGAAAACAACUUUUCUACCUCUGAAGUAGGGGUAAAGUCUGCAUACACUCUAUCCUCCCCACACCCACUCCCACUAUGUGGGACUACACUAGGUAUGUUACUGUUGUUGCCGUCGUACUAAACGGUUGCACAAUUCAAUUCAGAACAAAAAUUGUCUCCAUAUCAAACUUGAUAUAAAGAGUUAACCGUCUUUGUACCUAUAUAUGAUAGCAAUCCUGGAGGAGCACAUGGCUGGCACUCAGUGCAUCGAGCAAACCAACUGAACUUCUACCCAUGAUCUAUGUUGCUCGAACUCUCCAAAAUAUAGAAAAACAAACAAAAGAGCAAUCUUUUAACCAACAUUAUGUUGGCAUCAUGCUAAAUUUCGAAAACAGCUUUUCUACCCCUGACAGUACACUCUACCUCCCCUGACCCUACUUGUGGAUUUCACUGGGGUAUGCUGUUGUUAUAUUGAAUCCUUCGAAAAAGGCACUACUUUUGAAGGAUCAGAUACACACCCGACGACAUUUUGAAGAGUCCGGACAACAUAGAUCAUAAACACAUGCACAAGCAUCUCAUAAACAUUCAUAACCUUCACCUAUGUUGCUCGGACUCUUCAAAAAUUUAAUCGGGGUUGUGUCGGAUCCUUCAAAAGUAGUGCAUUUUUGAAGGAUCCGACCCAGGUGCGACAACAUUUUUGGAGAGUCCGAGCAACUUCAUACUGUAUAUUCAAGAAAAGCAAUGUAAAUAUAGAAGCAAGAGACAUUAUUACUCACCAGAGCAGUAGCUUUAAU
rnacentral:lncRNA from 1 species